rnacentral:rRNA from 1 species
GAUGAACGCUGGCGGCGUGCCUAAUACAUGCAAGUCGAGCGAACAGAUGAGGAGCUUGCUCCUCUGACGUUAGCGGCGGACGGGUGAGUAACACGUGGAUAACCUACCUAUAAGACUGGUAUAACUUCGGGAAACCGGAGCUAAUACCGGAUAAUAUAUUGAACCGCAUGGUUCAAUAGUGAAAGACGGUUUUGCUGUCACUUAUAGAUGGAACCGCGCCGCAUUAGCUAGUUGGUAAGGUAACGGCUUACCAAGGCAACGAUGCGUAGCCGACCUGAGAGGGUGAUCGGCCACACUGGAACUGAGACACGGUCCAGACUCCUACGGGAGGCAGCAGUAGGGAAUCUUCCGCAAUGGGCGAAAGCUUGACGGAGCAACGCCGCGUGAGUGAUGAAGGUCUUCGGAUCGUAAAACUCUGUUAUUAGGGAAGAACAAAUGUGUAAGUAACUAUGCACGUCUUGACGGUACCUAAUCAGAAAGCCACGGCUAACUACGUG